UACGAAGGGGACUAGCGUUGUCCGGAAUUACUGGGCGUAAAGCGCACGUAGGCGGACUUGUUAGUCAGGGGUGAAAUCCCGGGGCUCAACCUCGGAACUGCCUUUGAUACUGCAAGUCUCGAGUCCGAUAGAGGUGGGUGGAAUUCCUAGUGUAGAGGUGAAAUUCGUAGAUAUUAGGAAGAACACCGGUGGCGAAGGCGGCCCACUGGAUCGGUACUGACGCUGAGGUGCGAAAGCGUGGGGAGCAAACAGG
rnacentral:rRNA from 1 species